AAGUCAGAUGUGCUCAGUACAGACAAAGGAAAUAAGCACCCUUGAAAAAAAGUCAAGGAACUCUGGGAGCAGCCUGCAAGACUGUGUUUAAAGCUGACAUAUCUCCUGCCUGGGUGAAGCACGUACCAAAAGAGACUCUUCUGGAACCUCAGCAAGCAGUAUGGUCUCGUUAUUAGGCUGUCCAGGAGAUGCUGUCAAAGUCAUUAGAGGUACUUUCUGCAAGUAACUUUGCUGGAAAUGGAAAGGUGAUUGGGUGGUUGGUAGUGUCUCUGACCACAUCACAGCAGCUCUAAGCAGACAAAUAGAAGACUUGACAGGUUUUAAUGGUGGCAUUCUGAAGAAGAGAGCUGAGAAAGUAAGUGUUGGCAUGAGCACACAGGCUCACUCAGAAGGGCAAAACACAGGAUCAGAGGGGAAAGGUUCAUCUUGUCAUCACUGCUUUCUAACAUGUAGCCACUUCCUGCUUCUUCUGAGAACAGUGAAUAAGAAAUGAACACGAAUUUGGGCAAAGCUUCAAGGUUUUUAUUGAAUUGUACAUAAGUAAUAAACAAGAUUAUACACUGUUGGUAUUUUCAUGGAAAAUAGACUCAGUUAAACACAGCAACAUACUUCUGCUUUCUGGAUAGAUGCUAAUUUAGCAUUUGUAAAACACAAGGCCCCAGCACAGCUGGAACAUCCUCCCAGCAACAGCCUAAGAGGGCUCCCGCUGGGCAGCUUUUCUCCACAACCAAGUUGUCAACACUGGCUCAGAUAUCAUCAGUGUUAACUCCAGCCCAGCACUGCUGGGACACAAUGCCAGUGAAAGGAGCUGAGAUCAGGCUUUUAGAGCAGCAGUGUCACCAGUGCAAGCCUACAGUGAUGUCCCUGUGGCAGUGCAGAACACUAAUGCCAGAAAUGGAAGCAAUAAAUAGCAAUGCAAGGGAACAAGUUAGCAUUCCUUUGUACAUUAGUGUGCUCUUCUGCCUUUGCUCCCAGACCUAUAGGAUUAGCCUUGAAAUGACACUCAAGCCUGUUGUAAUA